GAUGGCUUGCCAAAACUCAGUAAGCGGCCCUCUGCCCAAAAUAAUUGCCCGACCCUGUUCUAUAGUCUAGUGAUGAUCUUUUACACUAAGGUCCCUUUGCACAACAGCAGGAGUAGCAUUUGCACAUUCUUUAAGAAAAUGUCUAGAUUGACAAAGAUUUGUAAAGGGAUCUUAGUAUAAGCAGGAAUUUAGUUCCUUUUUUUUUUUUUUUGGUGCGCACACAGCUAUUUCUUUGGUGUUACAUGAGCAUGAGAUGAAUGAAGUUCCCUGAUGGAUAGAUAUUUUUACACCAGGAAAGUAACUGUUGAACUGUAUGUCCUACAGGACAAAUUCUGCUCCUAGCUACACCAAAGCAACUGCACACCAAGUAAUGAAGUAAGGUUUACAAGAGUGUAAACAACAACAGAAUUGGGCUCUUUGUAUGCAGUUAUCAGGAUUAUAACAUUUCUUAAGCUGUAUUAUGAAAUAAACUGAACCAUCCUAUGAUUUUUGAUCAGAUGAAUUAUUUAACAUUGGGGUGGUGAUUAAGGCACCAUUUCAAAUGUGCACUGCUAUUUGGUAAGAAAAGUACCGAAGUCACUCCCACAAUGUCUUCACAACAUUCCCAUUCUUACUGUACAAACUCAUAGUAGAACUGGAAUGUUGUAGUUGUGAUGGUCCAGGAAACAUGCAAGACACACAAGGGUGGGUGAAUGAUAUCUUUUAUCUGGUUUUGGUGGGUGAUAUAUUUUAUUGGACCAACAGUAUAGUUGGAAGAGAUGUGCACACAAAGGUUUUAUGCCCAAGGCUUGCUUAACAUCUCUCCCAAUUACACUACAGAUAUUUGCUACUCAUAUAAAGGCUCAUGCUAUUAGCAACUGCUCAAAGGUAUCCAUGUGUACUAUGAAGAAUUCUUCUCCACUCUAUUUAGAUCAUCACUGUCAAAAAUAUAAUUUUUGCCUUCAUUUUGAAUGAUCAUUUAAGGCAGGGGUUAAUGAAUUGUUAACCUAUCCAGGAAAAAUAUAUAGUUAGAUUAACAUAUCUAUGAGAAGAAAUGUUCAAAAAGAAACUAAAUCCCUACAAUCUAUGAAAAAUAAUAGCCACAAUAAGCUACUGCUGAAAGCAUAGUAGACCUUUCACACACAGGAAAAGAGUUCUCUAUCUCUUGAAAAAUAAAGAUCACGUCAACUUAGCACUUGGAUUGCACCUUUCAUCC